rnacentral:rRNA from 1 species
UACGUAGGCAGCAAGCGUUGUUCGGAGUUACUGGGCGUAAAGGGUGUGUAGGCGGCUGUCUAAGUUUGGUGUGAAAUCUCCUGGCUCAACCGGGAGGGUGCGCCGAAAACUGGAUGGCUAGAGGGUGGGAUGGGUAAGUGGAAUUCCUGGUGUAGCGGUGAAAUGCGUAGAUAUCAGGAGGAACACCGGUGGUGUAGACGGCUUACUGGACCAUCACUGACGCUGAGACACGAAAGCGUGGGUAGCAAACAG